UUGACCUCGGAUCAGGUAGGGAUCCCGCUGAACUUAAGCAUAUC
rnacentral:rRNA from 1 species